rnacentral:lncRNA from 1 species
AAAUAUUAUUGUACAAAUAAUUAUAAAAUGCUGUAAACUGCGAAGAUUGCAAUUUCACAUUUUGCAUAUACAUGACAAAGUUAGUUAUUUUUUUAUAUGCAAUUAUACAAAAUAAAAUCAAACAAGAUUUUAAAUGAAGAUACAAUAUGUAGACAAAUAAGAAUAAAUGUUGCGCGUCGCGUUGCACAAAUCUUGCACUCUGAUAUUUUAAGGAAUAGUAUACACUCCUGCAUUUAAAUGCGGCUGCAAUUUUAUCUUAUUUUUAAAGUUUUAUAAAAAUAUAUAAAUGUACAAAAGAAAGUAAAGGCGGUUCCCUUUAAAAUUACUGAAGUUGUCAAUUGAUGAAGCUCUUUUUACAUCGUGUGCACUUUGUUGAUUAUAAUGAGAGAACUUGAGUAAAUAAAUAGAGAAGUAAAUAAAUAAUAUUGUCGCUAUUAUAUAUUUUUUUCAUAGUUAUAUUUGAUGCAUCAUACUAGGUGCCGUGUGAGGACCAAACCAAAUCUCCAUGUUCUGUGUGUGUAUAUAUAUAUAUACCUUGCUACAUGUACUGUGUCAGGCUAACCAAUGCUUGUCAUUUGCACUUACAUAUUGUUGCUCUUUUGUUGUUUUUGAUUGCUUCCAUUGUCCUCAUUUGUAAGUCGCUUUGGAUAAAUGCGUCUGCUAAAUGUAAAUGUAAAUGUAAAUAUUAAUGCAUGCAUGUAGUAUGUACUUCUAGUAGUUGUAAAGCAUGUGAUUGUGUUAUAAUUAUAAUGAAGUGAAUGUAAAAUGAUAGAUGAUAUCAAUCUAAGACAUAAAUGCAUCAUAUUGACGAAACGGUAUCAUAUUGUGAACUAUGUACACAGGAAGUCAGUGGAGAUAUAAACGAGAGAACUUUAGCCAAUCAGAUGGUGCCAAAGGCUCCUGAUGUCAUAGUGGAGGCCCGUUACAAUGAAGAUGACGAGGUGAUCGGUAAAAUGAAGAAUGUCUGUCUCCAUGAUAAAGGACAGUGAGGCAGCAAAUGACAGACUAAUCCACUUUCUGAAGCUUGGAUUACCCCAGGAAACCAUCAGUAACAUUUCAGGUGUCACUCAUACAACUAUCGUUCAUCGGAUGAGAGAAUGUGGCUGGCCAGUAUCAGAAUCCAAUAAGUAACCCUGAGGUAAUUAUUUCCUCUUACCAUGCAUUCUUGGUUUUGCUCUGUUAGUUUAACCCCCAUAAUUAAAAUUAUUUUUUUGUUUAUCUUUAGACGGAGUAUUCAGACUCAAUGGCAGUUGAACAAUAUGGUGGAGAUGCUGACCAUGUUCACUUUGCGGUCAACGUACCUGUAAUUCACAGGCCACAACUCACAAAUGAGCAGAUUGACCCACUGCAAGAGUCUGAUUUCAUUUAGAAUA